rnacentral:rRNA from 1 species
UACGAAGGGGGCUAGCGUUGUUCGGAAUUACUGGGCGUAAAGCGCACGUAGGCGGGUCGUUAAGUCAGGGGUGAAAUCCCGGAGCUCAACUCCGGAACUGCCUUUGAUACUGGCGACCUCGAGGCCGGAAGAGGUUAGUGGAAUUCCCAGUGGUAGAGGUGAAAUUCGUAGAUAUUGGGAAGAACACCAGUGGCGAAGGCGGCUAACUGGUCCGGUACUGACGCUGAGGUGCGAAAGCGUGGGGAGCAAACAGGGAUUAAGAAACCCUGAGUACGUACC